rnacentral:rRNA from 1 species
AUUGAACGCUGGCGGCAUGCUUUACACAUGCAAGUCGAACGGUAACAGGCCGCAAGGUGCUGACGAGUGGCGAACGGGUGAGUAAUGCAUCGGAACGUGCCCAGUCGUGGGGGAUAACGCAGCGAAAGCUGUGCUAAUACCGCAUACGAUCUGCGGAUGAAAGCGGGGGACGAAAGGCCUCGCGCGAUUGGAGCGGCCGAUGUCAGAUUAGGUAGUUGGUGGGGUAAAGGCUCACCAAGCCAACGAUCUGUAGCUGGUCUGAGAGGACGACCAGCCACACUGGGACUGAGACACGGCCCAGACUCCUACGGGAGGCAGCAGUGGGGAAUUUUGGACAAUGGGCGCAAGCCUGAUCCAGCAAUGCCGCGUGCAGGAAGAAGGCCUUCGGGUUGUAAACUGCUUUUGUACGGAGCGAAAAGGCUCUCUCUAAUACAGGGGGCUCAUGACGGUACCGUAAGAAUAAGCACCGGCUAACUACGUGCCAGCAGCCGCCGCGGUAA